GCGGCGGACGGGUGAGUAAUGCUUAGGAAUCUGCCUAUUAGUGGGGGACAACAUUCCGAAAGGAAUGCUAAUACCGCAUACGCCCUACUGGGGAAAGCAGGGGAUCUUCGGACCUUGCGCUAAUAGAUGAGCCUAAGUCAGAUUAGCUAGUUGGUGGGGUAAAGGCCCACCAAGGCGACGAUCUGUAGCGGGUCUGAGAGGAUGAUCCGCCACACUGGGACUGAGACACGGCCCAGACUCCUACGGGAGGCAGCAGUGGGGAAUAUUGGACAAUGGGCGAAAGCCUGAUCCAGCCAUGCCGCGUGUGUGAAGAAGGCCUUUUGGUUGUAAAGCACUUUAAGCGAGGAGGAGGCUACUUGGAUUAAUACUCUAGGAUAGUGGACGUUACUCGCAGAAUAAGCACCGGCUAACUCUGUGCCAGCAGCCGCGGUAAUACAGAGGGUGCGAGCGUUAAUCGGAUUUACUGGGCGUAAAGCGUGCGUAGGCGGCUUUUUAAGUCGGAUGUGAAAUCCCUGAGCUUAACUUAGGAAUUGCAUUCGAUACUGGGAAGCUAGAGUAUGGGAGAGGAUGGUAGAAUUCCAGGUGUAGCGGUGAAAUGCGUAGAGAUCUGGAGGAAUACCGAUGGCGAAGGCAGCCAUCUGGCCUAAUACUGACGCUGAGGUACGAAAGC
rnacentral:rRNA from 1 species